rnacentral:lncRNA from 10 species
GCCGGACAUUGGCCAGCGCUGACGCAGGCCCUUGGCUGGGCAGUCCAGGGGGAAUCAUUAUUACGGGAAGGCACAUUUUCUGUAGCUUUGCCCGAAGAGAGAAGCUGUUUUCUCUCAGAGAUGGAACAUGUUAGCUGGUUGCCAUGAUGUCUUCAUUUGUCCAUCGCUGCCCCUCUGUGAGCAGGCAGCCAUCAGGACAGAGAGUGGCAUGCUGGACAGGCCGACUCUGACAAGGAGCAAGCUACGCAGACAUUGUGCUGGAAUUUCUAUGCUGAAGAAUUAAGCUAUAUUGUUUGGCAAAAGAAGAAACUGAAAACAAGAAAUCCAUCCCUUUCUACCACUGCUAUUAUAUCAUCCACGUUUAAAAAAAAAAAGUUUGUAUGUAGUUAUAUACAACAAGAAGUUUCUGCUUCGGAUUUCUCUGUUGGGCAGGGUGGUGGGAGGGAUGGGGUCUCGAGUUUUUCCCAAGUGAAAUCCUGGUAAUCCUGCCUGAGAGAAUUCUUAUGAAAGUUUCACUCACAAUGAAAGCAAACUUCCAAGGUGGAGGAGGGUGAAGCCGGCUGGCUGGACCGAUCACUGAGGCCCAGUGCUGCGAAGAGAGUUCAGCACAUUAUUCCAACCCUUUCUGGGAGCACGGCCCAGGCUUGGCACCGGUUUGGUGUUCUCGAGUGUGAUGCAUUCUGAAAACCUGGCUGCGUCCGUGGCCCAGCUCCAGUUCUGCAGGGCUCAGCAUCAGGCUGCCCCCUCUCCUAAGGUGUUUUGCAGGAUCGCCCCUCAGAGCUAAACACCCACCAGCUGACCACCUGUUCCAGGUGAUGGGAUUUUGGCUCAGAUCAGCCUGGAUCAGGGUGGACCUCUACAAGCUGGCUUGCAUGAAUGUAAAUGUCUGCUGCCCAUCUUGAAGACCAUCGGCAAGCUUUGGUGGGUUCAUAUUCAGUGGCAUUAGGGAUUAAGGCAAACUUAAAAUGAUUCUGAGUGUAAACAGAUACAGAUAUAAACUUUUGGGGGAACAAUUUGGUAAUAGCUAAUAACAAUCGUUAAAAUGUUUAUAUCCUUUGACCUGAUAGUGUUAGUUCUAAGAAUUUACCUUAAGAAAAUAAAUAAAUUUAUAUCCCAUGAUAUCUUCAUUUUAGUGUUGCUUGUAAUUGCAAAAAGAAAAAAAAAGAAAAGAGAAAAAACCCCAUUUACUGAAUAAUUGGAGGGUGGUUAAAUACAUUACGGUAAAUUCAUCUGAUAGAAUAAAAUGCUCUACAGUUAAAGACCUAGGAAACACAAUAGACUUUGCAAAACCAUAUAAAAACAAUAUAUAUGGUAUCAUCAUGAUUUUUGUAAAAAAAUACAUGUGAAUUAAAAGACUAAUGAACAUAUAACUAUAUACAAACAGAUUUCGGAGUGGUGAGAUUCUAGGUGAUUUUAAUGCCUCUCUGCAUAUUCCAAUUUUUCCAUAACGAACACACAUACCACUGAUAUUCAAUAAAAAAAGGUUAUUUUAAAUUUUUUUCUACCCAUAUGCUGACUGUAAGUCCUCAUUCCAAAGGAAGAAUAAGACCUUUCGGGGGCUACCACUGACCUGCCCAAGUUGGAAUUAGUAAAAAGAGAACUGGGGAACCGGAAGAGAAGAGUUAGAGUGGCUGGCAGACGCUGAGGUGUGAGGGGUUUUCAGUGCAGCAGUUUUGGGGGUUGGGGAGAGUAGAGAAAGGAGCUGAGUUCAAGUUCUCUGUGGGGAAGUGGGACCACAUCCUGCCUGGGAGAAGGGAAGGUCAGUGAGUUCUGUCCGGGGCUGCUGUCCUCUGGUACAGGGAUAUUAUGAGCACGGCAAAAACUCAAUAACUGUACGUAUUAAGGAGUGAGGUCAGCCAGCACCUGGAGGGAUGCUGAAGAAGGCAGGCCCGUGCAGACCCACGAUUGCUUUACAGUUACUUGGUGCCCCUGAAGUGCCUGCUGCCCAGGGAGAUGCACUGUUUCCAGUCCCCAAUCCACUGAACGAAGAUGGAACAAUGGUGGACCCAUCGUGAACUGGUCAGUGUUGUCUACCAGAGAUCCUGCUGUCCCUCCCGAGACUCUCCUCACAAGGUCGGCCCAAUUUGUGUGUGCCUAUGAGCCAGGAAGAGCAUACCAGUGACAAUAUUUGUAUAGCAUUUGAUAGUUCACAAACAAUUCUCAUGAAAGUUCAGUCAAGGAGCUCUAGACAUUCUUUUCAGGAAACACAUAUUUACAAUCUGCAAAUAGCCACACUGAGGGUGUUCUUUUUCCUCAGCUGUAAUUUCAUCUGUGACUCUCUCUGCUGCUUUCUGGUGGCUGGAACUGUAUUCAGCAAGGGCAGAUAGGUGGCUGUUCUUCAAGCUUUUACGAAAUGGGGGAAAACCAUCGGUAUUAGUCAGUGAGGAAUAAACUAGCCCUUUCUUUUUGUUUUUCUUUUGCUUUUUUAGACACAGGCUGGAGUACAGUGGGGUGAUCCUAGUUCACUGCAGCCUCAACCUCCUGGGCUCAAGUGAUCCUCCCACCUCGACCUCCAGAGUAUCUGGGACUACAGGCAUGUGCCACCAAGCCCAGCUAAUUUUUUUUUAUUGUUUUGUAGAGACAGGGUCUUGCUAUGUUGCCCAGGCUGGUCUCAAACUCCUGGCCUCAAGCAAUUCUCCUGCCUUGGCCUCCCAAAGUGCUGGGAUUACAGGUGUGAGCCACCACACCUGGUCAUUACCCCUUUCUAAUGAAUCUAGGAAGUGCUAACAAAUAAUCGGCACCAGUGAAUAACUCCUUAGAUUCAGUGAGGUUAACACUGGGGACCCAGAAGAGAGAACCACCGGCUUAGUGUAGACCUGCCAAAGGCAGGUGUUAAAAUGGAUGAUCCUCUUGCAGACUCAGUUCCUGGCUGGUCAUCACCUGGUGAAUUUUUCAUUUUAAAAUCAAUAUUUCAAGAAAGCACAUAGCUUAGAGUCAUGUAGUUUAACCUCCAACCCAACAUGGCAUCCCUAAGGACCACCACCCAGCCUCUGUUGAAUACUCCUAUGAUGGGGACCUCGCUACCUCUCCAGGAGAACAUUCAAUUUCUGUAUAGAUGUGGUUAGAAAGCAUGUCCACAAGACUGCAGUGUGGAAGUCAGAAGAGAACAUUGGGUUGAAGGGGAUGUGACUCAGUUUCAAAGGUGCAGGGUGUGUAGCUAUAAGGGUACCACAUAGGAUUACUAUAUCCAAUUUUUUAGAAUUAUUUGUUAUUUUUCUUCUGAUGAACAAAUACUAUGUAGAGGAUAUGGAAAUGCUUGUGUAGCCUUCUCUGUUAGGGAAAGUGGUGCUGGGUAAUAAUAUUGGUUCAGUACAUCAUUCAUUAUUUUGUAGAUAAAACUAGAAGUGAGUCCUCCAUCCCACUGACUUUGGUUAGCUUGCCAUAUGAAGCUUCAGUGAUGGUGCGUUACAUCCAUCUCAGCUUCCCUACCAGGUAGUUUGUGCCCUCAAGGAAUUGAUCAUCAUAAUCUAGACUUGGUUGGUAGCAGGCUGGGGAAGGCUAGGAUUGGGAAACCAAUGGGCUUCAUUAAUUAAUGGGUUCAUUAGUUCAGUUUGUUUGUAAGUUACUAUUUUAUGAAUAUUAUAUGUCUCCCCAAUUGGACUGCAUAUUCCUUAAGGGCAGGAAUUUAUUUCUUAUCCCUCACUGUAGUUGCAAUAGUGAACACACACAAAACCCUCAUCAGUAUAUGCUCAGUGAUUAUCUGUAGAAGACUAUGUUGUAGGUAACACAUUGAACUGGUGCUGAAGAAUUAAUCCAAUUAACAAUGACCAUCAAGCCACUUCUUUUAUGCUAAUAAAACAUCAUAAUUUAAGGACUACACUGCAUUUUUUAAUUCCAUAAAUUAUAAUCCUUUAACAUAUAUGAAAGUUUCAUAUUCUUA